AACGAACGCUGGCGGCAGGCCUAACACAUGCAAGUCGAACGUGAAGCCACCUUCGGGUGGUGGAAAGUGGCAGACGGGUGAGUAACACGUGGGAACGUGCCCAGAGGUACGGAACAACUCCGGGAAACUGGAGCUAAUACCGUAUGUGCCCGAGAGGGGAAAGAUUUAUCGCCUCUGGAUCGGCCCGCGUCUGAUUAGCUUGUUGGUGAGGUAACGGCUCACCAAGGCGACGAUCAGUAGCUGGUCUGAGAGGAUGGCCAGCCACACUGGGACUGAGACACGGCCCAGACUCCUACGGGAGGCAGCAGUGGGGAAUAUUGACAAUGGGCGCAAGCCUGAUCCAGCCAUGCCGCGUGAGUGAUGAAGGCCCCUAGGGUUGUAAAGCUCUUUCGGCGGGGAACGAUAAUGACGGUACCCGCAGAAGAAGCCCCGGCUAACUUCGUGCCAGCAGCCGCGGUAAUACGAAGGGGCCUAGCGUUGUUCGGAAUCACUGGGCGUAAAGCGUAUGCAGGCGGAUCGUUAAGGUCGGGGGUGAAAUCCCGAGGCUCAACCUCGGAACUGCCUUCGAUACUGGCGAUCUCGAGUCCGGGAGAGGUGAGUGGAACUGCGAGUGUAGAGGUGAAAUUCGGUAGAUAUUCGCAAGAACACCAGUGGCGAAGGCGGCUCACUGGCCCGGUACUGACGCUGAGAUACGAAAGCGU
rnacentral:rRNA from 1 species